CUGGCAUGAUUUUUCUCUCCUUUUUCUGUUACGAUAGAACAGUUACUUAUUUGGUAUUGUUUAUUUUUUUUCAUUUUUUUAAACCUAAAUUACACACUUAAAAGUGUUAAUGAUGUUUGAAGCUUUUAUUUGAAUGGAUGCAGCCUGCAUUAGCGGAUCCGGUAUGCGGGGAGAGGGAGUUUUGGUGGUUGAAACCCCAUUUUUUCCGAUUAUUUUUUUAUUUUGUGGACGUUUCAGUGUGUUCCGUGGUUUGGAUCACCCUUUUGCAGAAAGGCGGGAUCCGCACCUGGUCUGAUAUCGUCAAUAAUAAUAGUAUGAUGAUCCGAUCAUUCAUCUGAUUUUUUUAUAGUUUGGUCUUGUGGUGUGCUAGUUUUGGGGAGAAAUGAGCGCACACAGACAUUUUUAACCCUGCCAAAUUCUUUAUGUACCUGUUUCAAGUCAAGAGCUCGUAGUUUAGUGGUUGUCGUUGGUUCAUGUCUGUCAUAUGAUAUAUAUUUUUCGUAAAUUGUUUUAUUAUGAAAUAGGCCGUCAGUUAAAUUCGAAAGGUAUUGAUUCUUAUUUUUCAUGUCGGGACCUUUUAUAGCCGACGACUAUAAUAAUUGCUUAAAUCCAUUUAUUUUUUUAACUUUGACAAUCAUAUCACAUCUCCUUAUUUUUAUAUUGAAGAUAUAAAUGUGGUUUGAUAAAAAUGUUGUUCUUACUAAAAAAAAAACAACGUUCGUUCGUUUGUCGGAUGCUAUAGUGGGGAAUAUUGAAAAGUUGCUGAAUCGUGACAUUGAUAUAAAAAAAAAAAUCAUGUUGAAGGAUUUUGUGUUUUCUCUGUCUUUCAGAUUACAAGUCCUCUCCCAACCUUGAUAAAAUUUAAUUUUACAGGAGCUUUUUCUACCAGUAGCUAUAGCUUGUAAUAAACAGACAUCUCAUUUGAAAUUAUACCACAUCUUCUUAUUUUAAUAUCAUGUUUAUUGACAUAUACGUGUCUUUUCUUGGAUCAGUGGUAAGCUACCACCAUUCCACAUUCGAAUUCCUUGUUAUAGUUACCAAAUUAAAAAGUGUUGGGUAUGUGUAGAUACACCAUAGGAGGAGCUAAAUUUCACGAGAAAGCUUUGCUGAUAUCACAGGAAAGAAAAUGUGUUACAUUGUAGUUUCUGGCUAAAAGUGUGAGGUAUCUAACAUACACCACAUGACCAUUUUCAAUCUUCUGGUAAACCAAUCAGAGGGUCGAUAUGGAACUGUGGUGUAUGUGUCGAUAACCUCACACCUUUUUCAAUGGAAAAUCAGACAAACUAUGGUACAUAUCAAGUUACAAUAUUCCGAUCCUG
rnacentral:lncRNA from 1 species